GUCUGUACUGCCUGUACUGCCUGCACUGUCUGUACUGCCUGUACUGCCUGCACUGUCUGUACUGCCUGUACUGCCUGCACUGUCUGUACUGCCUGUACUGCCUGCACUGUCUGUACUGCCUGUACUGCCUGCACUGUCUGUACUGCCUGCACUGUCUGUACUGCCUGCACUGUCUGUACUGCCUGCACUGUCUGUACUGCCUGCUGCUGUACUGCCUGUACUGCCUGCUGCUGUACUCGUACUGCCUGUACUGUCUGUACUGCCUGUACUGUCUGUACUGCCUGUACUGUCUGUACUGCCUGUACUGUCUGUACUGCCUGUACUGUCUGUACUGCCUGUACUGUCUGUACUGCCUGUACUGUCUGUACUGCCUGUACUGUCUGUACUGCCUGUACUGUCUGUACUGCCUGUACUGUCUGUACUGCCUGUACUGUCUGUACUGCCUGUACUGUCUGUACUGCCUGUACUGUCUGUACUGCCUGUACUGUCUGUACUGCCUGUACUGUCUGUACUGCCUGUACUGUCUGUACUGCCUGUACUGUCUGUACUGCCUGCACUGCCUGCACUGUCUGUACUCCCUGCACUGCUUGCACUGCCUGUACUGCCUGUCUGUACUGCCUGUCUCUACCGCCUGUACUACCUGUACUACGUGUCUGUACUGCCUGCACUGUCAGUACUACCUGUACUGUCUGUACUGGCUGCACAGCCUGUACUACCUGUCUGUCUGUACUGCCUGUAGUGCCUUUACUGCCUGCACAGCCUGUACUGUCUGUACUGUCAGUUCUGCCUGCACUGCCUGUACUGCCGGUUCUGCCUGAACUGCCUGCACUGCCUGCACAGCCUGUACUGUCUGUACCAUCUGUCUGUACUGCCUGUACUGCCUGUAAUGGCUGCCUGUACCGUCUGUCUGUACUGCCUGCACAGCUGGUACCACCUGUCUGCACCGCCUGUGUUGCCUGUACUGUCUGUACUGCAUGUACUGCCUGUCUGUAUACACCACCUGUCUGUCUGUAUUGUCUGCACUGCCUGCCUGUACUGCCGGACUAG
ensembl:lncRNA